rnacentral:rRNA from 1 species
GAUGAACGCUGGCGGCGUGCCUAAUACAUGCAAGUCGAGCGAACGGACGAGAAGCUUGCUUCUCUGAUGUUAGCGGCGGACGGGUGAGUAACACGUGGAUAACCUACCUAUAAGACUGGGAUAACUUCGGGAAACCGGAUCUAAUACCGGAUGAUAUUUUGAACCGCAUGGUUCAAUAGUGAAAGACGGUCUUUCUGUCACUUAUAGAUGGAUCCGCGCUGCAUUAGCUAGUUGGUAAGGUAACGGCUUACCAAGGCAACGAUGCAUAGCCGACCUGAGAGGGUGAUCGGCCACACUGGAACUGAGACACGGUCCAGACUCCUACGGGAGGCAGCAGUAGGGAAUCUUCCGCAAUGGGCGAAAGCCUGACGGAGCAACGCCGCGUGAGUGAUGAAGGUCUUCGGAUCGUAAAACUCUGUUAUUAGGGAAGAACAUAUGUGUAAGUAACUGUGCACAUCUUGACGGUACCUAAUCAGAAAGCCACGGCUAACUACGUG